UUUUUAAAUUAACUGAACAUUUACACAAAAGAGACAGGGGUUUAAAACUAAACAGAUAGUGGAAACAGUUUAACUUUCAACAACAGUGUACAUGUUGAGAGCAAAUAUAGACUAGUAGAGAAAAUUGCCUUUUUGCACAUCUGGGUUGAUAUUAUAAGAUUUAAGCAACUAUAAUAUAAAAUUCUAUACACAUAGGCAGUGAGAAAAAACUUUUAUGGUCUGAAACAAUUUUCAUGCUAUAUGUCAUAAUAGAAGGUCUUCUAGAAUCCAUGUAUGCCCAACAAAAGCCACUGAAGGGAAGCUUACCAGAGUGCCAUCGAGUUCCUUCCCCUAAGGAUCAGACUUCCAGACUCAAGUGUCAUUUGACCUGGUAUCCAGCUUAAUACAGCCUCUGCUUUUGAAUAGAUUUCCUUACAAGUGGCAAUCUCUAAUAGGGUCAUGUCGAGAGGCAACCCGACUGCAUACUACCUACUGCACGUUAACGUGAUGAAGGUCUCUCCUGAGCACACGGCUUCAUAAACCAGCUGCACAAGCAACUGCAUCUGGGGAUCUGCUUCAAGAGAAACUUAACUAAAGCAAGAAUGGGCUCUAACUUCAGGAUACCUAGGAUUCUAACCUCGUUCCAUUACUUACCAACGAUAUGACCUGGGAAAAAUUAUAUACCUGCUGCACAUCACUGGGGCAAUUUACUGUAGGCAUGCGGCUUUAACAACAACAAAAUGUAAAAAGAGAAGUCACCUAUGGAUGGAUUAAAAAUUACGGUGUG
rnacentral:lncRNA from 1 species